AGGAUCAUUUGCAAUGGGCGAAAGCCUGACAAUGCGACGCUGCGUGCAGGAUGAAGGCCUUCGGGUUGUAAACUGCUGUCAGGGGGGAAAAGGACGCGGCCCCGAACAAGGGCUGCCGUUUGAUUGUACCUCCAGAGGAAGUGACGGCUAACUCUGUGCCAGCAGCCGCGGUAAUACAGAGGUCACUAGCGUUGUUCGGAUUUACUGGGCGUAAAGCGUGCGCAGGCGGCCGACCUUGUCGGAUGUGAAAGCCCGGGGCUCAGCCCCGGAAGUGCAUCCGAAAGCGGUCGGCUCGAGUCCGGGAGGGGAGUCUGGAACACACGGUGUAGCGGUGAAAUGCGUUGAUAUCGUGUGGAACACCGGUAGCGAAGGCGAGACUCUGGAACGGCACUGACGCUCAAGCACGAAAGCGUGGGGAGCAAACA
rnacentral:rRNA from 1 species